GAUGAAGAACGCAGUGAAAUGCGAUAAGUAAUGUGAAUUGCAGAAUUCAGUGAAUCAUCGAAUCUUUGAACGCACAUUGCGCCCCCUGGUAUUCCGGGGGGCAUGCCUGUCCGAGCGUCAUUACAACCCUCAAGCUCAGCUUGGUGUUGGGCCCCGCCGCCCCGGCGGGCCCUAAAGUCAGUGGCGGUGCCGUCCGGCUCCGAGCGUAGUAAUUCUUCUCGCUCUGGAGGUCCGGUCGUGUGCUUGCCAGCAACCCCCAAUUUUUUUCAGGUUGACCUCGGAUCAGGUAGGGAUACCCGCUGAACUUAAGCAUAUCAAUAAGCGGAGGA
rnacentral:misc_RNA from 1 species